GUGGGGUGGCGCGCGGUGCAUGUCGGUCCCGAGGCGGACUGUCCCCUCGCUGUGAGGUGCUCGGAGUCUCGCCUGACGCCAUGUUCCUUUGGGCCGCUGCCGCCCGGGGCCUCUAGCUGCCACCGCCCCCGCGUGACCCCGGAGCCUAUAGAGCCGCAGUCGCCGCCGGGAGCGGAGCCCGGCCGCGCCCCGCCAUGUCCGCCAAGGAGGGGAGCAAGGGGCCACCGCCGCCUCACGGCACCAGCGAGCGGGCCGUUAAGGGUGAGCCCCGCCAGCGACCGGCCCUCUGCGGGGUGAACGACUCGGCGGCGGCGGUGGGGCGGGGUGUCCCUUUUCCACCAACACAUCGCUUGUCAUCUGAAGAAGUGUUUGAUAUAGAUGGAAAACCUAGGGUUGACAUUUUGAAGAACCACUUAGUAAAAGAAGGUCGGGUAGAUGAAGAAAUUGCACUUAGAAUCAUCAAUGAGGGUGCUGCAAUUCUACGAAGAGAGAAAACUAUAAUAGAAGUUGAAGCUCCAAUUACAGUGUGUGGUGAUAUUCACGGCCAGUUCUUUGAUCUAAUGAAGCUGUUUGAAGUUGGAGGAUCACCUGCUAAUACAAGAUACCUCUUCCUUGGUGACUAUGUAGACAGAGGUUAUUUUAGUAUAGAGUGUGUGCUGUAUUUAUGGGUCUUGAAGAUUCUGUAUCCAAAUACAUUAUUUCUUUUGAGAGGCAACCAUGAAUGCAGACACCUCACAGAAUAUUUUACCUUUAAGCAAGAAUGUAAAAUAAAGUAUUCAGAAAGAGUCUAUGAUGCUUGUAUGGAAGCUUUUGAUUGCCUCCCUCUUGCUGCACUUUUAAACCAACAGUUUCUUUGUGUUCAUGGUGGACUUUCACCAGAAAUAAACACACUAGAUGACAUUAAGAGACUAGAUAGAUUCAAAGAGCCUCCUGCAUUUGGACCGAUGUGUGACUUAUUGUGGUCAGAUCCCUCAGAAGAUUUUGGAAAUGAAAAAUCACAGGAACACUUCAGUCAUAAUACAGUCAGGGGAUGCUCCUAUUUUUAUAGCUAUCCAGCAGUUUGUGAAUUUUUGCAAAAUAAUAAUUUGUUGUCGAUAAUUAGAGCUCAUGAAGCACAAGAUGCAGGCUAUAGAAUGUACAGAAAAAGCCAGACUACAGGGUUCCCAUCAUUAAUAACAAUUUUUUCGGCACCUAAUUACUUGGAUGUCUACAAUAAUAAAGCUGCUGUGUUAAAAUAUGAAAAUAAUGUGAUGAAUAUUCGACAGUUCAAUUGUUCUCCACAUCCUUAUUGGUUACCAAAUUUUAUGGAUGUCUUUACGUGGUCAUUGCCAUUUGUUGGAGAAAAAGUAACAGAAAUGUUGGUGAAUGUUCUGAGCAUUUGCUCUGAUGAUGAAUUAAUGACUGAGGGAGAAGAUCAAUUUGACGUAGGUACAGCUGCAGCACGAAAAGAAAUAAUCAGAAACAAAAUACGUGCAAUUGGCAAGAUGGCAAGAGUCUUCUCUGUUCUGAGGGAGGAGAGUGAAAGUGUGCUGACACUCAAGGGUUUGACUCCCACUGGAAUGUUACCUAGUGGAGUGUUGGCCGGAGGACGUCAGACGCUACAAAGUGAUGCAGUUUAAUUGGAAAUAGUGAUGAACAAUCUGAACACAGAAGACCAAGUGACAAACAAAGGCUGUUGAAAACCUGGAAAGGAUUCAGAAAAGAGCGACGAGAAUUAGAGGUCUGGAUAAUGUGCCUUACAAUAAAAGACAUAUGAAGCUCCAUCUAUUUAGCUUCUCAAAGAGAAAGUUAUGAGGUGACUCAAUCACCGUCUAUAAGUACCUAUAUGGGGAAAAGAUUCUGAUAGAAGAAGACUCUACUCUAGUAAAGGCAUAACAAGAACCAAUGACGGGAAACUGAAACUAGAUAAAUUAAAGAGAGACAAAAGUGCAAAUUUCUAAAUUAAGGUACUUAAUCACUGGAACAACUUACCAAGGGAUGUAGUGGCAUUCCAUAACUUGAAAUCUUUAAAUCUAUAUUGGAUGUCUUUCUAAUUAUGUUCUAGCUCUACCACAAGCUAUUGGCUUGAUGCAUGAAUUAAUGGAUGAAAUUCUGUAUCCAGUGUUACACACGUCAAACUAGAUGUCCAUAAGGGUUUCUUCUUCUGGCCUUAAAUCUAUGAACGUUUAUAAUCUUAUUGUUCAGAGCUUCAUUAAAUAUUAGCAUAGUGCAGAAUUUACAAUCAGAUUAUAAAUCUGGUCAUUAAAUUGCCAAUGCUUUGUUUUUCUGUUUUAAAUAUUACCAUAUAACCUAAGAGCCCAGUUGUCUGAAUAAUCUUAUGUAUGUAACCAUGUCCAACCAUGCUGCCCCAUUAUCCUCAUUCUCAUUUGUUGUGUCAUGUUUAUAAUCUAGUUUGUAAAUUCUUCGAGGCGGGUACUUUAUCUAACAAUCUGUUCUGCGAGACACCAUGCACACCUUUGGUCUUGGUACAAAUGCAUAAGAAGAACUAGAAAAGAGGUUUUUAAAAUUGCGUUAAAGCAUGGGUUUGAUUGUGGUCACUUGCUAAAGGCAAAAAGCCACUUCUGGUUUCAAGGUCAGGCAUCUCUCCGGGAUGGCAGAUAUGGCUUGCUCACUAAUCAAUGACAAAAAGUACCACUGCAAAAAGCCAGUUACUGUCAAAAUCUGGCUUGAAGAGUUCAUUUGGGUGCCUAUUUCAGACUUGUGCGCUAAAAGACAACAAGGUUUAAGAGAUGAAUACUACCCUUCAUGCUCAUCUUUUCAAGUUGCACCCAAAUUGCUGGGAUGAUAAAGAGACUGUGAAAUUUUAUCUGAAUUCCCAGACUAGAGCCCUGCAUGGGACUAUUAUUUUUAAUCCCACUCCCGUCCCAUCCCACAAUAUCCACUCACACCCACUCCCGCAUUGUUUCUUGCAUUUUUAUCCUGCUCCCACCCACAAAUCCUGCAAGAGAGACCAAUUCCCCCAUGCUACUAAAACAAACAUAUGGUCGGUUAAUAUACUAUCUAUCUAUAUAGAGAGAGUAUUUUUUUAUAUGGUUUAAGAAAGAUUUGUUUAACUCCUGUUAUAAUAGGCAUCAAAUCUCUUUCUACCCCUCACGUAAAUUUAAGUAUUAAAACCUUUAUUUUUUUAAAAAGAAAAGCUUGCUUUACAUUGCUGAAAUUCUAUUUAUGACAAACUACUGUUGUGCUUAUCAUACAGAACAUCAAAGCAAACUGCACCACAGUUUUACCUUAAAAGGUGUAGAUUUUUUUAAAUUACUAUAAAAAGUAAGUUAAAAUAAACACUGAAAUUUUUUUAAACUGCUUAAGUACCGUUUUUAGAACUUUGAAACAUACCAUUCCAAUUAUUUAUAUGUCAGGAUUAUUAUUGCUUUUUGAAAAAUACUUAAUGGAAAAACUGCUCACAGCACUUGGUUUUUGAUAGAAAUAAAUUUUAAGAAGAGGCUCAAACUAAGUGAUCGACAAUAAGGUCAACUUAAACAGCAGAUGUAGCUAAACUUGCAUUUUGUUUUCCCACAAAUUACCACAAUCGUUUUUUUUUG